rnacentral:rRNA from 1 species
AACAGGUCUUCGGACGCUGACGAGUGGCGAACGGGUGAGUAAUAUAUCGGAACGUACCCAGAAGUGGGGGAUAACGUAGCGAAAGUUACGCUAAUACCGCAUACGAUCUACGGAUGAAAGUGGGGGACCUUCGGGCCUUAUGCUUUUGGAGCGGCCGAUAUCUGAUUAGCUAGUUGGUGAGGUAAAGGCUCACCAAGGCGACGAUCAGUAGCUGGUCUGAGAGGACGACCAGCCACACUGGGACUGAGACACGGCCCAGACUCC